UCAGCGUGUUUUUCACAUGGUUGGUUUUUCAAGCAGAAAAUAACGGCACAGAUGCAAAACCCCAAUAAAGGAAGCAGAAAAUAACGGCACAGAUAUUCAGCCUACAUCGCCGUCAUGAUCACUGGUGAACCCAUCUCCUCUAAAUUGAAGGUGCUGUAAGGAGUGAGGUGCCCUUCCCUGAUAGGAGAAAAAACACCUAAACAAGGUCCUGCACAGAGAUUGUUCGAGGCACACCUUCAGGUCCAGACAUGAUGGGUCACGGCACGUACAGUGAUGGUAUAACCAUAUGGAACUAAUAAAUCCAUGAAGACCGAUCCCGUAGUGAUGCCCCCAGUCCCCCGCCCAGGUCCAGACAUGAUAAAAGAGUACAGCGCAGUGAUCUCAGCACAUGACAGGCACGAUGCAGUGACUGAGACUGGGAGAUGCAGUGACUGAGACUGUGUUCCAGAAAAAUGUCCUGAAACUACUGGUCGACAUCCGCCAUCGCCUGAAGGAAACCAGAAGGGAUCAUGAAAUUUGGUUCCAUAGCCACUGAGGUGUAUGUACAUCAAGGUGAACGUGUGUGAGCACCUCAAGCACGCGUCGUAAAGACUUGGAGGUGGAGGAUUCACUACGCCCCGAUGAGCCUACAGGACUUGAAUUAAGAGUUUUAAAGGGAUAGUUCACUUUAAAAUUAAUUUUUGAUAUGUUUUAGCUUACCUCAAGGGCAUCCAAGAUGU